GGGGGUGUGGAGCGCCAGCGAGCCCAAGGUCUCCCUGGCGAGCAUGGCAGGACUGGAGGGCUCCAGGCAGGGCUCCUCGGCGUCCCUCGGGGCCCCGACGGAGGUGCCGGAGAUCUUCCGGCUACAAACCCGGGCAGGUGGAGCUCGUUAGCCGUGGUAGGCAAUCUGCCUAGGAGAGCAAACUCUAAACAAACCCAGGCAGGUGAGGUUCGUUAGCCGUGGGAGGCAAUUCACCUAGGAGAGCAAACUCUAUACAAACCCGGGCAGGUGGAGGUCGUUAGCCGUGGUAGGCAAUUCACCUAGGAGAGCAAACUCUAAACAAACCCGGGCAGGUGGAGGUCGUUAGCCGUGGGAGGCAAUUCACCUAGGAGAGCAAACUCUAAACAAACCCGGGCAGGUGGAGGUCGUUAGCCGUGGGAGGCAAUUCACCUAGGAGAGCAAACUCUAAACAAACCCGGGCAGGUGAGGCUCGUUAGCCGUGGUAGGCAGUUCACCUAGGAGAGCAAACUCUAAACAAACCCGGGCAGGUGGGGCUCGUUAGCCGUGGUAGGCAAUUCACCUAGGAGAGCAAACUCCGAACAACAAACCCGGGCAGGUGGGGCUCGUUAGCCGUGGUAGGCAGUUCACCUAGGAGAGCAAACUCCGAACAACAAACCCGGGCAUGUAGAGGUCGUCAGCCGUGGUAGGCAGUUCACCUAGGAGAGCAAACUCCGAACAAUAAACCCGGCCAGGUGGAGGUCGUCAGCCGUGGUAGGCAAUCUGCCUAGGAGAGCAAACUCCGAACAAUAAACCCGGCCAGGUGGAGGUCGUCAGCCGUGGUAGGCAAUCUGCCUAGGAGAGCAAACUCCGAACAAUAAACCCGGGCAGGUGGAGGUCGUCAGCCGUGGUAGGCAAUCUGCCUAGGAGAGCAAACUCUAAACAAACCCGGGCUUGUGGUGCUCGUUAUACUGUCGUAGACAAUCCACGCGAUGGGAACACCAAAGAAAAGGAAAAUAAAAAGGAACACCAGAAAAAUGGAAAAUACAGAAACGAAACAUCAAGAAAAGAAACAAAAAGAUCAUCCACCUUUAGGCCCUAACAUCGCCAAAAUUAUGGAUGGGUCUCUUCUGGGGAGAAAGCGGCUCAUCCAGACCAAAGAACAUCAACCAAAGGAUGAUAUGAAUAAAUGAAAUAAAAAAAACAAAGAAAAACACAUCAAGGAAAGAAAAAUAUAACAAACAUCAUCCACCUUCCGGCCCUGACUAACAUCACCAAAAUUAUGGGUGGGUCUCUUCUGGGGAGAAAGCGGCUCACCCAGACCAAAGAACAUCAACAAGGGAUGAUAUAGAAAAGAACACCAAAAAAAAUGGAAAAAGAACAGAAAAACAUCGAAAAAGAAAAGCAACAUAAAUAAAUGAACAACAUCAAGAAAAGAGAAAUACAAAGCAUCAUCAUCCACCUUUCGGUCCCAAACAACAUCACCAAAAUUAUGGAUGGGUCUCUUCUGGGAGGAAAGCGGCUCAUCCAGACCAAGGAACAUCAACAAAAGGAUGAUAGGAAAAAAGAACACCAAAAAAGAACACCAAAAAAGAA